UAGACGUAUUACGAGGUUCUCGCGCGAUUUUCCAACUGCUCGUCGAAUGUUGCGACGCUGUUGCACGAGCUGACUGCUACUGCCCAUGGGAAAAUUAAGCGCACCGAAUAAGUUUCUAUCUCUCGACCGAGCCGCGCCUCGUUGAAAGUUCCUCAUAAUUAGCUUCAGCAGCGGGCAGAGCCUCUUCAACAAAACCAGAUCAUUUGCUCGUUCGUCUAUUCUGGACCAGCGGCAGAGGGAACUGAUCUGGAGUAUAUCUGGUCGUGUCUGUGUUCACGGUGUUCGGUGAAUCGUUGGCGCGAGUUCCUUUAUGGCUGGAAGUGUUCGUGCAUGCAAGAUUCGGACCAGUAUUCCAACAAAGUGUUCUAGCGUUUAAUGUUUGCGCUCGCUGCACCAGAUGUGUCGCACAUAUACCUAUGUCUACGUAGGUAUACAUGUAUAGUGGACGUUUAUACCGUGCCAAUGCUUUUUGCAUGUGAAGACUAGAAAAGAAUGUAAUAUAGGGCGAUGCAAUUGGGACGCGACAUAUCUUUCGCAUGGUUGAACGUGGGAAAACAACGGAGAAAAAGAAGGCGAGUUCCUACAAAGUUUAUGUCCCUAUGACUACGCUCUUUCCUGUAAGUGCAACCAUGUACGCUAUAGUAACCGUAAGUAAAAAGCGUUAGAAUAAUAUAUUCGAUAAACGAAUACGUUACUAAAUAUUUAAAGUGUCGUAUGAAGCUAGAAAGUUAAAGCUUUUCGUAGUAAAUUAAAGUUAUUUUCAUUGAGUUUGUAGUAAAUUAACAUAAGAAGCAGCUUGCAACCACCAUUCUUACACCAACUAUCAAGGCAACCGUUUAUGAGAUAUCGCUGAAACAUUGAUAUUCAAGAGAAAUUAGGUAUAUUAUCUUUCAUAAUAACAUCGUUAAACAGAAGCUAUAUCCAAGAACGUCGACAAACGAUAGAAAUGAAGAAAGAAGAAAUAAAUUUGUAGAAAAAAUACAAGUUGGAAAUGUUUGCUCGUUAAACAUUCCGAAGAAUUUUAUCUGAAGUAUAUAAAUAUGUAAAACGCGCUAACAAAAGAGUCUUCAAUGAAAUUGCAAAAACGUCGAACGAUUUACAUCAUAUUCUUUUGAUAUCGUGGAUCUCCAAAUUCAUUAAACAUCGUUAUAUACGCAUCCAUGAGCAUGCAUAUAACAUGCGGCGCAAGCUUAUGGUCUUUGCAAAAUUUAGUAGCAAUUAUGCACGCACGAUUAAAGCGGCAAUUUUCUGAGAAAGAGACAAGUGUUUCCUGUUCUGGACUGUCUCGACUUCCUGCGCCCAUUAUUCCAGACAUUAUGAGAAUAAACUUCCGGUCGAUAUGCGUUUACUUCCGUGUCUCUCGCUGAUCCCUCUUUCGUUGCAUAGAGAAGGACAAAAAAAGCGAAUGGCGAGCGGUGGGCGAGAGAUGGGAAGAGAAAAGGUGAGCUGAAACGCGCGCGCCAGAAUAUUUCUGCGGCAAUUAUGCAUGCAGCAUUCAUAAAGAGGAGAUUUUUUUUUUCUAAAGCGCCAAAGAACGGCCUCGUGUACCUGGAUAAUUUGAUUUCCGGUUCCAUUGUUAUCGUUUAAACGCAAGGCCGUGGUCGGCGAUUAUUCAAUCGCGAGAAGAAAGUAUAACUAUUUCGCGGAGAGUUGGAAAGUUUUGGUAUUCUUGUCAUUAAUGCAGGAAACGGAAGAGAAGGAAACUUCGUUUUAUAGUAUUUUAAAUUUUUACCGAUCGAUCCGAUCAGACCGUUUCUGACCAAGCGAAAUCAACGGAUUAAAAGAGAACCGAUUCGAAAUACGCGAUACACGCGCGUGUUCUCCGACGGAAGGUGCCAUUUGUGGUUGCGGUUGUCACAGAAUUUCGUGAAAAUCGUGUACCAGCCGAUUGUCGCGACGAGUUAAUCACGAAGGACAAAUGAACGUAUUGCCGCUGAGCCACGAUGACGCGAAGUGCACGUGAAACGUGAAAAUGUUGCGUUCUACUUGUAAAUGUGACACCUUCGGAAAUAUCGAUGCUUAUAAUAGCGUUUAAAAUUUCGCGCGUGCAUUUUUAUUAAGCAAAACAGUCUUUCUGUGAUUCGUACGAUUAUUCAAUUCGAGAAAGAAAGAUACAAAAUGCAAGUAUACGUGAAAGAAUGUGUGUGUGUGUACUCUACAUAUUGCAGACCCAUGUGGAUGUACACAUUAUACAGACUAUUAUACCAGGUUUGUCCAGCUAGAAUAUUAUGAUUAUAUUCAAAUAACAGUUGUAUACAAAAGUCGUAUACACAUAAAGAAACGCAUAACAUGCCUUAUAAAAGUUGCGGAAAGAAAUGUAAAUAGAAUUUAAAGUCAGCGAGGCAAAACCAUAGAUGCCAGAGCAACGUUCCGUUAAAAAAAAAAUCGCAAAAUUGUUAAAAAGUAGUGCGUGACAUAAUUGCGAAAUGCAAUAUUUGACAUAUCGUUAGCUUCAUUACAGUAAAGGUUGAAUUUAACGUGUUCGUUAUUUGAAAACGUUUAAUAACCGCUUCGUAAUUACAAUUAAUUGCUAUACCGUACAUCCCGCUCGAUAUUUUCAAUUGUUUGCUUAUUAACUAAAUUUGAUGUUUGUCGUACAGGGCAAAUAGUCUGCAAAAAUAUGAAUAACCUGUAAUUCAUAAUAAAACAAUAUUCAAAGUA